rnacentral:rRNA from 1 species
GAUGAACGCUAGCUACAGGCUUAACACAUGCAAGUCGAGGGGAAACGGCAUUGAGUGCUUGCACUCUUUGGACGUCGACCGGCGCACGGGUGAGUAACGCGUAUCCAACCUUCCCAUUACUGUGGGAUAACCUGCCGAAAGGCAGACUAAUACCGCAUAGUCUUCGAUGACGGCAUCAGAUUUGAAGUAAAGAUUUAUCGGUAAUGGAUGGGGAUGCGCCUGAUUAGCUUGUUGGCGGGGUAACGGCCCACCAAGGCUACGAUCAGUAGGGGUUCUGAGAGGAAGGUCCCCCACAUUGGAACUGAGACACGGUCCAAACUCCUACGGGAGGCAGCAGUGAGGAAUAUUGGUCAAUGGACGGAAGUCUGAACCAGCCAAGUAGCGUGCAGGAUGACGGCCCUAUGGGUUGUAAACUGCUUUUGUAUGGGGAUAAAGUUAGGGACGUGUCCCUAUUUGCAGGUACCAUACGAAUAAGGACCGGCUAAUUCCGUGCCAGCAGCCGCGGUAAUACGGAAGGUCCAGGCGUUAUCCGGAUUUAUUGGGUUUAAAGGGAGCGUAGGCUGGAGAUUAAGUGUGUUGUGAAAUGUAGACGCUCAACGUCUGAAUUGCAGCGCAUACUGGUUUCCUUGAGUACGCACAACGUUGGCGGAAUUCGUCGUGUAGCGGUGAAAUGCUUAGAUAUGACGAAGAACUCCGAUUGCGAAGGCAGCUGACGGGAGCGCAACUGACGCUUAAGCUCGAAGGUGCGGGUAUCAAACAGG